UAGGUAAUCUUCCACAAUGGACGAAAGUCUGAUGGAGCAACGACGCGUGAGUGAAGAAGGGUUUCGGCUCGUAAAACUCUGUUGUUAAAGAAGAACAUAUCUGAGAGUAACUGUUCAGGUAUUGACGGUAUUUAACCAGAAAGCCACGGCUAACUACGUGCCAG
rnacentral:rRNA from 1 species